rnacentral:rRNA from 1 species
UGACGAAGCGACGCCGCGUGGGUGAGGAAGGCCUUCGGGUUGUAAAGCCCUGUCAGGAGUUAAGAAAUGUAGACUCGCUAAUAUCGGGUCUAUUUGACAAAGGCUCCAAAGGAAGCCACGGCUAACUCUGUGCCAGCAGCCGCGGUAAUACAGAGGUGGCAAGCGUUGUUCGGAAUUAUUGGGCGUAAAGAGCACGUAGGUGGAUUUGUAAGUCAGACGUGAAAGCCUUCUGUUCAACGGAAGAAUUGCAUCUGAAACUACAAACCUUGAGUGUAGGAGGGGAGAAUGGAACUUCUGGUGGAGCGGUGAAAUGCGUAGAUAUCAGAAGGAACGCCGGCGGCGAAAGCGAUUCUCUGGCCUAUUACUGACACUCAGUGUGCGAAAGCUAGGGGAGCAAACGGGAUUAGAUACCCCGGUAGUCCUAGCCGUAAACGAUGGGCACUAAGUAGAGGG